rnacentral:rRNA from 1 species
AACGUAGGGGGCAAGCGUUGUUCGGAAUUACUGGGCGUAAAGCGCGUGUAGGCGGCUUGGCAAGUCGGAAGUGAAAGCCCUCGGCUCAACCGGGGAACUGCUUUCGAUACUGCCAGGCUUGAGUGCGGGAGGGGAGAGCGGAAUUCCCGGUGUAGCGGUGAAAUGCGUAGAUAUCGGGAAGAACACCGGUGGCGAAGGCGGCUCUCUGGACCGCGACUGACGCUGAGACGCGAAAGCGUGGGGAG